rnacentral:misc_RNA from 1 species
GAAUAUCAAGCACCUCAAGAUGCUUAAGUGCCUUUAUUUUGCCUGGAAGCUUCGACAAUCUCCUGCAAGAAUUUAAAUAAAGAGCCCUGAGACAUACCAAGCAUGAAAUCGAAGAUGGUAAUUCAGCAAUAUUAGUGCUAUGUAAGUCCAAAACCCGAAGACUUUGCAUAGAUUCAAAGAAUCGGCGAGGAAUCACUGCCAAAUCAAUAUUUCUCUGGAGUAAAAGUGUUGAGAGAUUGUUGCAAUCUGGCUUGUCCGGUAAACUGCUAAAUUUGUUAUCCAUCAAAGAAAUCCUUAGUUUUUGUUCCCAUUCUUUACUUUCGGGGGCCUUUUGGAGCCCCUUGCCAGGUUUCACCAAACAUUUUGAAUCGUCACUUUCUAAGAUUUUAAAGGCCAUUUUCCGUAGCACUUUAUUCAUCCUUACAUGUUUUACCUUUUCACCGUUUUCUAGCAAAGAUGCAUCCAAAAGAUCAUGCAAUAUCUCUUGACCUUUCUGAAUUGCAGUGAACUCCUCCACAUCUUGAGUGAAAUCUUCAGCUCUCCAACAUUCUAGCAAAUAAUUUAUACAUAUUUCAUAUGCUUCAGCAUAUAAGGCACCAUAAAGAAAGCAAACUUUUCCAUCUUCAUCUAAUUCUUCAUAACAGAAUCUUAAUAAAUCAAACGCAUCAUCCAUUCCAUCACAUUUGGUACCAGGCCAUAUUCGCAAUUUAUUCAGCCCAGACUCCCAUAGAAGAAUAUCGUCUUUCCUUCUGAAGGCUCUUGCAACCUUGUCUAUUAAAAGGGGCAAAUUAUCACACUGCUCAAUGACUUGGCAGGCUAGUGAUUCAAACUCAGAAUACAACUUUCGACCUAAUCUUUCCUGAAAAAGAUUCAAAGCUUCAUCAUUUGAGAGCCGUGGCACCCUAAUUAGAUGAUCAACACACAUCUCACGACAAUUGCCACAAUGUCUAGAGGCAAUUACUAUCUUGCUAUCCUUUUCAUUUUCAUAGAUGCCGCAAUCAUCGAGAUCAAAUGUGCCCCAGACAUCAUCCAAAAGAAGUAAAAAUCUCAUGCUCUCCAACCUCUUGGAUAUUUUUGAAGCAGCGUCAGUACUGCCUUGUAGUAAAUCCAAUUGUAGCUCUUCUGCUAUUUGAUGCUGAACCCUUUCUUGCAACCUUUCUUCAUUCCCUUCGUCAGCUAGAGUUACAUAAAAGACUAUAUCAAACAAUUCAGAAAUUUCUUCACUUUCACGCAAAUUUUGCAUGAUUGUUGUUUUCCCAGCACCCACCUGGCCCCAAAGUCCUAUUCUUGUUACACGCUUAUCUUUUAGGCGUUCAAGUAUCUCUUCGAAAACCAUGGAAAGUGAUGGCUUGUCCUCUAUUUUUGGUGCCUUCGCUUUUAUGAUAGGUUUUGCUGAUCUCUCAACCAGAAAGUCAGUUCCAAAAUUGCUCCCCUCUGACCAACAACUUUGUACCUCAAAAAGUUUCUCUACCAUGCGUUUGCUAAGAUUUGAACGUGGGCAAAGACGAACCGAUUUAAACUUGUGGCUUUUUUCUUCUUCAUAUUCAGCUUUCAAGGCUAGCACCUCUUUCUCAAGUUUCUUGACACUACCCAUCCACACAUUGCAUUCUUCGGUAGCCUGCUUUGUCCUAUCCCUAUUUAUUUUCACUAACAAAUCACCUUUCCUGGCAUAGACCUUUUUAAUCGCAUCCUGCAACUUUUCAUAAUUUUUAUCCAGACUUUUCUCAUAAUAUCUCAUUUCGUCAAUAGAGUCAGCUGCAUUCCUCGCAUCUUUGUAUGCCUCAACUACUACAGCAGAAGUCCCUGCAGAAGCUGCAACUAUCUCAGCCAUGCCUGUAUUAUUGAUGAAAUAAUAGUUAAAACCAUAAAUACUCAAGUGAGAAAAUUAUUUAGAGGUACAAAUAUUUAAUUAUUCCAAUCAAUUCAUUUUUUUUCUUUUUGAUUUGAACCAAGCAUUUUCAUCAGUGCUUUGGUGACUCAAAAGCUCAACUCUGAAAUUGAGACAUGAACGUACAAUCACACCAUCAUAAUAUAAUCCAAAUCAUAUAGAUUAGAGAAAACU